rnacentral:rRNA from 1 species
GACGAACGCUGGCGGCGUGCCUAAUACAUGCAAGUCGAGCGAAGCGGCGGAUGGGUGAGUCACGCGUGGGUAACCUGCCCUUAAGUCUGGGAUACCAUUUGGCACCAGAUGCUAAUACCGGAUACUAAAGGAUGGACCUGCGAUGCAUUAGCUAGUUGGGAAGGUAACGGCUUACAAAGGCGAUGAGGCAUAGGAAAGUUAAGAGACAGAGCGGCCACAUUGGGACUGAGACACGGCCAAAACUCCUACGGGAGGACGCAGAAGGGAAUCGUCCACAAUGGAAGAAAGGCUGAUUGAGCAACGCGGAGUGAGUGAAGAAGGUCUUCGGAUCGUAAAGACCUGCUGUGGGUGCAGCGGUAAUCAACCAGAAAGUCACGGCUAACUACGUGCCAGCAGCCGCGGUAAUAC